GUAUAAUCAUCAUCAUCGCUGGCCCUUCUUGUUCUUCGGACCAUAAGGAGCCUAGCUCAUCAAGCGAUCAAUUUUAACUGUUGAUUACUGCUAUAACACCUUCACAAUCAGAUUUGAUAGCGAUUGCGUAGUUGGAGCUUCACUCAAUCAAAAGUGAAGGAAGUGUUUGAGGCAGACGCUUCUGUGCCGGUGACCGAGCUUUUUACGCAAGUGUUUGAGGUUAAGCUUGUGGUAAUGAAUGGCUCUAAAGUUGUGGACGUGAAUCCAGAAGAUGAAGUGUGAAAGAUGAGCCUCUUG
rnacentral:lncRNA from 1 species